UACAUGGGGUGCAAACGUUGCUCGGAAUCAUUGGGCGUAAAGCGCACGUAGGCGGUUCGUUAUGUCAGAUGUGAAAGCCCUCGGCUUAACCGGGGAAGUGCAUCCGAAACUGGCGAGCUUGAGUACUAAAGAGGGUCGCGGAAUUCCCGGUGUAGAGGUGAAAUUCGUAGAUAUCGGGAGGAACACCAGCGGCGAAGGCGGCGACCUGGGUAGAUACUGACGCUGAGGUGCGAAAGCGUGGGGAGCAAACAGG
rnacentral:rRNA from 1 species